GGGGCUAUAGCUCAGCUGGGAGAGCGCGUGCGUUCGCACUGAGGAGGUCUGCGGUUCGAUCCCGCCUGGCUCCACCA
rnacentral:tRNA from 1 species